rnacentral:rRNA from 1 species
CCUACGGGUGGCAGCAGUGGGGAAUAUUGCGCAAUGGGCGAAAGCCUGACGCAGCGACGCCGCGUGAGGGAUGAAGGUCUUCGGAUCGUAAACCUCUUUCAGCAGGGAAGAACGGUCACUGUGCUAAUCAGCAGUGAGUUUACGGGACCUGCAAAGGAAGCACCGCCUAACUCCGGGCCAGCAGCCGCGGUAAUACGGAGGGUGCGAGCGUUAAUCGGAAUUACUGGGCGUAAAGCGCUCGUAGGCGGUAUGUCAAGUCAAGGGUGAAAUCCCCGCGCUCAACGUGGGAACUGCCUUUGAAACUGGCAAACUGGAGUGGGUGAGAGGAAAGUGGAAUGCCAGGUGUAGGAGUGAAAUCCGUAGAUAUCUGGAGGAACAUCAGUGGCGAAGGCGACUAUCUGGCACAUAACUGACGCUGAGGAGCGAAAGCGUGGGUAGCAAACAGGAUUAGAUACCCCUGUAGUC